GACGUAGGGCGCGAGCGUUGUCCGGAUUUAUUGGGCGUAAAGAGCUCGUAGGCGGCUCAUCGCGUCAACCGUGAAAACCAGCAGCUCAACUGUUGGCUUGCGGUUGAUACGGGUGGGCUGGAGUUCGGUAGGGGAGACUGGAAUUCCUGGUGUAGCGGUGAAAUGUGCAGAUAUCGGGAGGAACACCGGUGGCGAAGGCGGCGACCUGGGUCGACACUGACGCUGAGGCGCGAAAGCGUGGGGAGCAAACAGG
rnacentral:rRNA from 1 species